GCGAGCGUUGUCCGGAUUUAUUGGGCGUAAAGAGCUCGUAGGCGGCUUGUCGCGUCGGCUGUGAAAUCCCGUGGCUCAACUGCGGGUCUGCAGCCGAUACGGGCAGGCUAGAGUUCGGUAGGGGAGACUGGAAUUCCUGGUGUAGCGGUGAAAUGCGCAGAUAUCAGGAGGAACACCGGUGGCGAAGGCGGGUCUCUGGGCAACAACUGACGCUGAGGAGCGAAAGCGUGGGGAGCGAACAGG
rnacentral:rRNA from 1 species